rnacentral:rRNA from 1 species
UACAGAGGUCUCAAGCGUUGUUCGGAUUCAUUGGGCGUAAAGCGUGCGCAGGCGGCGCGUUAAGACAGGUGUGAAAGCCCCGAGCUUAACUUGGGAAUUGCGCUUGUGACUGGCGUGCUGGAGUGUGGCAGAGGGAGGUGGAAUUCCACGUGUAGCAGUGAAAUGCGUAGAGAUGUGGAGGAACACCGAUGGCGAAGGCGGCUUCCUGGACAAUUGCUGACGCUCAGGCACGAAAGCGUGGGGAGCAAAAGGG